rnacentral:rRNA from 2 species
GACGUUGAUAGGUCGGGUGUGUAAGCGUAGCGAUACGUUGAGCUAACCGAUACUAAUGAACCGUGAGGCUUAACCUU